GGACAAACGGAGGUUCAAUCCAUUUGCACGAGACGGGACAUUUUUCUCUUUAAAGAGUCUGCUGACGCAACGUAUCGAGUCGACGUAAAUUUAAUUCUUGCAACCUGUCUACAACAGGAGAACUGUCCUUUUAAAAUAAACUAUUAGCUACGUUCAGAACGUAUAUGGUCAUCUGAAAAGAAGAGGGAAAGGAAGUGUCUCGUAAACCGGCCACAACAGAGUUGGGUUGUCUGGUCUUCUGUAUAUAAUCCCAUGUCUGAUCUACGAAUAGAAAAGAAGACGAAAAGAAUAAAUGAAGAGGAAAAGUUUGAACGAAAGGCAAAUGAGGGGGGGGGGGGGGAGUGGAUCUAUGGUUUGAUAAGAGACCAGCAACCGGAUGUUUUUAAACGAAUUUAAAAGAAAGGAUGUCGAAAAGAAAAAAAUAAAAUAAAAAGUUGUGCUGAGCUGAUGACGUGUACAAUUCCAACAGACACGGGCUAACAGAAUAUUCAAGAACAACAGGAUCAAGACUGGAGAGUGCAGAAAACGAGAAAGAACGGCCAGAUGAAAAAAGCCCCAAAGGGAAAUAUUACGAAACACACACAGCUGUGGUAUAAAGAAGGUGGUGCAGCCUGCGUCUAAAGUUCAGUUUCGUUCGUCAACUCACGAAAGAGAGAAGCUUCUACAAGUGGUCGUCCUCCCAAUGUAAAACCGGUUCCAGUCAAAAUCAAUGCCAAAACUCACCGACGAGAGUCACAGUGAUUUCAACUCGAGCAUUGCAUUUAAAACAACAAAACGUUCGUGAAUUUAGACACAUUUCAUCAUUUAGAGGUGUAAUUUGAGCAGAGUCAACGACAACACACACACAGAUUUAGGGUAGUGGCGUAAGCGCCUAGCUGUAAGUGUAUCCACGGUGAAAUCGAUCAGCUGCUGUACGCUGGCCAAAAAAGAAAACAUUCUACAAUAACCAGUCUACAAGUGGCUUCCAAACACGCCGGUUCCGUCCGCCGGUUCAUCAAAACUUGAAGGUGAAAAAUCGACGAUCGAUAUUUCGUUCACAAGUGAAAAAACCCCCGCAAGGCAAAACAGUUGGACAUUUUCUUUUUUUUGAGAGUCUGCUGACGCAAUUAAAUUGCAACUGCUCGUGGCGAUCCAUUAAUUGUAAACAACAACAAAAAAUCUUUUAAAAAAAGUAAAAUCAAGAUUUUAAAAAAGAACACCCAAAAUGUCUCUCGACUUGCCAACUGGAAAACUAUUCCAGAAAAAAUUACUUUACGUUCAACGUGUGGAUGAAUCAAAACCGUUGAUAUUUGAUUUACUACUCCAAUUUGAUUUCGAUUAGGCCAACGAUAUCGCCGUCAUUAUACUGGACACUCCCGUGGUUCUUUCCAAGACUGUCGCUCCUGUUUGUCUACCACCGGCGAGUACCGAUCCCGACCAGUACGUCGACAAACCUGCUGUUAUUCUGGGAUGGGGUGCUGUCAAGACUGAUGCUGUAUCCACCGGAGACUUGGGAGAAGGUGUAGUUACGAUGUCGGCCAUCGCCGACUGUAGGGCGGACACGACAUUUGGACAAUAUGUUUCAGAGAAUAGCACCUGUGUUACUUCUACCAACAAUAACCAAUUCACAUGUCAGCAAGACAUUGGCGGUCCAGUCGUCAUUAAUACAGCUCCUGCAACGCCAGGAACGCGGGCUAUUUGGACCCUUGGAAUCAACAGCUACACCAAAGAUUGCGCUACAAAUGGCCUGAAAACCAGAGUGUCGGCCUACAAGGACUGGAUCGACAAAGCCAAUUGAAAAAUGAACUGAACAAGAAUCGACAAGAAUAACGACGACCAACAUCACGAAAGAACAUGAUUAUGAAAUUAUUGAAGCUCUCUUUUUUUCUUUUUAUUCUUCGGUUAAGUUUCUUCGGUUUAUUUUCGGUUUAUUACCCUAUAUUUACAUUUAGUUGUUAGAUAUUUUAAUGGCGAUAUUUAGUACAUGUAAUUGGUUUCAUUUCUGAACACAAGCAGCAAGCAAAUACCAGCAGCUGAUUUCGUCCCCUGAA